rnacentral:rRNA from 1 species
AUGGCGCCGGUGAAGGUGUUCGGGCCGGCGGCGUUUGCUAACGUGGCCCGGGUGCUAGUGUGCCUGGAGGAGGUCGGCGCCGACUACGAGGUCGUCGACAUAGAUUUCAUGGCCCUGGAGCACAAGAGCCCCGAGCACCUCACCAGAAACCCGUUCGGGCAAAUCCCUGCUUUCCAGGAUGGCGAUCUGAUCCUCUUCGAGUCACGCGCAAUUUCAAAGUACGUGAUCCACAAGUACAAGAUGAAUGAAGCCAAUCUGAUGAGGGAAGGUAACCUGAAAGAAGCCACAAUGGUGGACAUAUGGACCGAGGUCGAGGCACACACCUACAACCCAGCCCUCUCGCCGGUCGUGUAUGAGUGCCUCUUUAACCCGCUCUUGCAAGGCAUACCCACCAACCAAAAGGUGGUGGAUGAAAGCCUGGAGAAGCUGAAAAAGGUGCUGGAGAUAUACGAGGAGCAUUUGUCCAAACACAAGUACUUGGCGGGGGAUUUCAUUAGUUUUGCGGAUCUCAACCAUUUCCCCUACACUUUCUAUUUCAUGGCAACUCCUCACGCAGUCCUAUUCGACUCAUACCCACACGUGAAGGCGUGGUGGGAGAGCCUCGUGGCAAGGCCGUCGAUCAAGAAGCUUGGCGCAAGCAUGGCUGCACUUACGACAUGA